UUGGGGCGUGGUGCAGUGGUAGCACACCGGACUUUGGAUCCGUGAACGGAAGUUCGAAUCUUCCCGCCCCAGUC
rnacentral:tRNA from 1 species